rfam:Campylobacter gracilis RM3268 contig00044, whole genome shotgun sequence.
CGGGUGUGGCGUGCGGUCGCUCCGCAAGGAGAGGAAAGUCCGAGCUGCGAUAAGACAAGGUUGCGUCUAACGGACGCCGGGGGCAACCCUAGGGAAAGUACAACAGAAAGCAAACCGCCGCGCAAGCGGUAAGGGUGAAAGGGUGGGGUAAGAGCCCACCGCGCGCGUGGAGACACGGGCGGCAAUGCAAACCCAACCUGCAGCAAGAACGGGUGGUUUCGUCUUAUAUUCGAACCGUUCGCUCGAACCGAUUUGCAAAAAUCGGUCUAGAUAAAUGACCGCUGUAACGGAACUCGGCUUAUAACCACACCUAUUUU